GACGAACGCUGGCGGCGUGCUUAACACAUGCAAGUCGAGCGGUAAGGUCCUUUCGGGGGUACACGAGCGGCGAACGGGUGAGUAACACGUGGGUGACCUGCCCUUAGCUCUGGGAUAAGCCUGGGAAACUGGGUCUAAUACCGGAUAUGACUCCAUGACGCAUGUUGUGGGGUGGAAAGCCUUGUGCGGCUAGGGAUGGGCCCGCGGCCUAUCAGCUUGUUGGUGGGGUGAUGGCCACCAAGGCGACGACGGGUAGCCGGCCUGAGAGGGCGACCGGCCACACUGGGGACUGAGACACGGCCCAGACUCCUACGGGAGGCAGCAGUGGGGAAUCUUGCGCAAUGGGCGAAAGCCUGACGCAGCGACGCCGCGUGGGGA
rnacentral:rRNA from 1 species